rnacentral:lncRNA from 1 species
ACGGGUUGACACUUGGCCUUGAACACGAAUGAAAGCACUACUCUUUGAACUGGAACCGAUGUACCUUAUUCGCGUAACCGUACAGCGAAUUUUUAUGCACUUUGCACGCAUGAUGCUGAUGUACGAAACAAGAAUUUUAACACUAGAGACUAGGCUGUUCAUCUUCGUAUUUGGAAAGUGAAACAAAACUAGGUCUACUAAGGGGCGGUCUACAAUGCAUCGCAAAUGCCGUCGCCAGUCCCGAAGUCCGGAACUGAAAAGCCACAGUGUAUCUAAAUGGUCAAAUAAUCGGCCAUCCCUGCACUCUGCCUUGACUACUCUUGGGUACACCAUGGUCACUUUUGAGGUAUAACUUUCGUUUAUGGGUGGAAAUCCUAUCACUAAAUUGGCUCUCAGGAAGUUGUCGGAUUUGAAAAAAAUUUCAGAUUUUUUACAGAAGGGUAAAAAAUCCUUGUAACACUCAACGUCGGUAACCACAUAGUACAUUUUCUCCAUUGAAAAUCUAAAUGAACAAGAAACAUAUGUUAAUUUUAAACGGCAUAAUCUGCAUUAAGAGUACGCGCUAUUUCUAAUGGCAUUUAACAUGUAAAUAAUAUCUCAAAAUGUAUGAACCAAAUGAUAUAACAAACUUAAAACACUAUUGCAAAAAAAUGAAAGUACCUUUAAAAUAUAAAUGCAGAAAUACUCAUUUAGAUACAUUAAGAUACUGAUAUUGAUAAUGACAACAACAACAGAUUAAAAAUACGAAAAAUCAAAA